UCAAUGCGUGAUCAAUACACGAAAACACUCAGUGCCUAUUAGGUGCUCAGUAAAGUUUGUUGAUGAAUUACACAAGUGACAGUAAUUUUUUAGUCUCUUUUUUGAGGUUGGGGUGGGGGUGGGGUGGCCAUCUACCCUACUCUUCCUUUCAGUACUGACAUCUGUGACCUUGUCAGGUCUUUCCUACUAGAUUAUAACCCUGCACAGUGCCAGGAACGCAGGGCAGCGCGAGCAGUCAACAGAGGUUUGGUGAAUGGAUGGAUGAGCACAUGUGUGAUAUGUAAAUCAGUAGUCUCUGGAGUGUAACAUCCUACUUCCGAUUAAGCAAGGUGCUCUGGAAACUACAGGAGCAUAAGUGGCUGCUGUUGCUGUUGUUCUGCCUCUGGACAAGAGGAAUUCAUGUCUUCUGGGUGGUGAUCCAGCUCCACGAUCCUCCAGGGUCCCCUGCUGGCUACUGUGGGGGUGCUGCUGGGAGAGAGGCUCAGCUUGUCGGUGAGGGCAGUCGCUCUUUGCUGCAGGCUGACCCAGAAAACAAACUGGUGCUUCUUGCCCCUCCCAGGCCUGUGGUGGGGAGGAGAAAGCCGCAGGGCACUGAGCCCUAUGAACCAGUCCAGUGUCCAGAAAAGGGACGAUGGCCAGGCUUCAGGGCUGUGGAACUCGCUGUUCUGGAGGCUGAACCCGGGUCAGCUGCAGAGGGGACUCCUUGGGCUGGGCAGUGGGGAAAGAGAGCAGCCAGGGAAGUGCCCAGGGACAGGAAAGAAGGGGCCCCAAGCUGGCCUCAGCAGCUUUCUGUGCACGCAGUUUCUUCUCUGAGUCUCCCGUUUUUACUAAAGAAAAAUCACGGUAAGACCAAUUUGCUUUAUUAUAUUCAGUCUGAUCAUUUGUAUAAAGUGCAGCAAGAAUAAUUAUUUUUCACAUAGGAUUUUUAUAAUUGACUUUGAUGGAACUUUCUUCCAUAAAAAGAAUCUCAGAUAAUACCUUUUUAAAAGCCAAGCCUAGCCAUGGGUUUGUACUGUCAAACACCUAUAGGAGUUGCAUAAAUUCCUUUCCUCUUGAGGUCCCGAGAUAACUUGGGGCUCCUGGGCCUGUCAGAAAGUGACAUUCUUUAUUUACCACAGGUCAGAAACCCUGUAUAAGGACUGUGCAGACAAGGCACAUGGCCAGUUUUCCCAAGGGGCUUUAUUGCCUCUAUAAGUCAAGUUUGAUUCCUUAAAGGAAAGCGCAUCAUUCCAUUCAAAGCCUUGGUAAAAUAACCAGUUUCUCCAAUUGUGUCCUGUUGCAAAAGAAAAUGUUCUUAUUGCACUUAUGCAAAUAACCAUAUUGCCAUAAGUUAAGAAUACUCACAAAUAGUGUCCAAAUUCUGACAAAAUCAGAAAGAAAAACAAAUAUGCUCCAAAUUUUGUUCACAGGUGUUUACUCAAUUGUUAGAAGCUGUCAAUAGCUCAAAAUAAAAGUUUUCUUGACUCCAAAGUCAGCCAAUUAGUGCUGAAGUCUAUUUCCUUUGGGUUGGGGUCUC
rnacentral:lncRNA from 1 species